UGGGGAAUAUUGCGCAAUGGGGGGAACCCUGACGCAGCCAUGCCGCGUGAAUGAAGAAGGCCUUAGGGUUGUAAAGUUCUUUCGGUAUUGAGGAAGGUUGAUGUGUUAAUAGCACAUCAAAUUGACGUUAAAUACAGAAGAAGCACCGGCUAACUCCGUGCCAGCAGCCGCGGUAAUACGGAGGGUGCGAGCGUUAAUCGGAAUAACUGAGCGUAAAGGGCACGCAGGCGGUUAUUUAAGUGAGGUGUGAAAGCCCCGGGCUUAACCUGGGAAUUGCAUUUCAGACUGGGUAACUAGAGUACUUUAGGGAGGGGUAGAAUUCCACGUGUAGCGGUGAAAUGCGUAGAGAUGUGGAGGAAUACCGAAGGCGAAGGCAGCCCCUUGGGAAUGUACUGACGCUCAUGUGCGAAAGCGUGGGGAGCAAACAGGAUUAGAUACCCUGGUAGUCCACGCUGUAAACGCUGUCGAUUUGGGGGUUGGGGUUUAACUCUGGCGCCCGUAGCUAACGUGAUAAAUCGACCGCCUGGGGAGUACGGCCGCAAGGUUA
rnacentral:rRNA from 1 species